rnacentral:rRNA from 1 species
UGAACGCUAGCUACAGGCUUAACACAUGCAAGCCGAGGGGCAGCAUGGUCUUAGCUUGCUAAGGCCGAUGGCGACCGGCGCACGGGUGAGUAACACGUAUCCAACCUGCCGUCUACUCUUGGACAGCCUUCUGAAAGGAAGAUUAAUACAAGAUGGCAUCAUGAGUCCGCAUGUUCACAUGAUUAAAGGUAUUCCGGUAGACGAUGGGGAUGCGUUCCAUUAGAUAGUAGGCGGGGUAACGGCCCACCUAGUCUUCGAUGGAUAGGGGUUCUGAGAGGAAGGUCCCCCACAUUGGAACUGAGACACGGUCCAAACUCCUACGGGAGGCAGCAGUGAGGAAUAUUGGUCAAUGGGCGAGAGCCUGAACCAGCCAAGUAGCGUGAAGGAUGACUGCCCUAUGGGUUGUAAACUUCUUUUAUAAAGGAAUAAAGUCGGGUAUGGAUACCCGUUUGCAUGUACUUUAUGAAUAAGGAUCGGCUAACUCCGUGCCAGCAGCCGCGGUAAUACGGAGGAUCCGAGCGUUAUCCGGAUUUAUUGGGUUUAAAGGGAGCGUAGAUGGAUGUUUAAGUCAGUUGUGAAAGUUUGCGGCUCAACCGUAAAAUUGCAGUUGAUACUGGAUAUCUUGAGUGCAGUUGAGGCAGGCGGAAUUCGUGGUGUAGCGGUGAGAUGCUUAGAUAUCACGAAGAACUCCGAUUGCGAAGGCAGCCUGCUAAGCUGCAACUGACAUUGAGGCUCGAAAGUGUGGGUAUCAAACAGGAUUAGAUACCCUGGUAGUCCACACGGUAAACGAUGAAUACUCGCUGUUUGCGAUAUACGGCAAGCGGCCAAGCGAAAGCGUUAAGUAUUCCACCUGGGGAGUACGCCGGCAACGGUGAAACUCAAAGGAAUUGACGGGGGCCCGCACAAGCGGAGGAACAUGUGGUUUAAUUCGAUGAUACGCGAGGAACCUUACCCGGGCUUAAAUUGCAGAUGAAUUACGGUGAAAGCCGUAAGCCGCAAGGCAUCUGUGAAGGUGCUGCAUGGUUGUCGUCAGCUCGUGCCGUGAGGUGUCGGCUUAAGUGCCAUAACGAGCGCAACCCUUGUUGUCAGUUACUAACAGGUUCCGCUGAGGACUCUGACGAGACUGCCAUCGUAAGAUGUGAGGAAGGUGGGGAUGACGUCAAAUCAGCACGGCCCUUACGUCCGGGGCUACACACGUGUUACAAUGGGGGGUACAGAGGGCCGCUACCACGCGAGUGGAUGCCAAUCCCCAAAACCUCUCUCAGUUCGGACUGGAGUCUGCAACCCGACUCCACGAAGCUGGAUUCGCUAGUAAUCGCGCAUCAGCCACGGCGCGGUGAAUACGUUCCCGGGCCUUGUACACACCGCCCGUCAAGCCAUGGGAGCCGGGGGUACCUGAAGUGCGUAACCGCGAGGAGCGCCCUAGGGUAAAACUGGUGACUGGGGC